rnacentral:lncRNA from 1 species
UGGAUCUUAGUGAUAACACCUCCUGCGAUGUCGCGAGACUUAAAAUAUUCUUGACGUUAAAACACUUAGGUGUAAGAUGCGAUUAUUUUGGAUAAAAUGUUACUCUGGCCAAGGGAACUCUUAUUCAAGUGAUUUCAUGGAUUCAAAUGGCAUGUAGAAACAGUGCGCAUCAGCGUCUACUUCUAAGUGACACAAAAGUGUCCCCUUUCCAAGCUGUGGUGUGCGCGGGAGGUUUUGACGACUGAGAAUUGUGCAGGUCUCCUUUCAGUGCAUGCUCUGAAGAGACUCCUUCUCUGACUGUGUAUGACAUUGGUAAAGAAUAGGUACUAUCACUUUCUCAUUUUAAACUUGAAACUGUGAAUAAGGUAAGAGAAUUAUUUUGAAUAAAUAAGCUAUUUAUUUAAAAUACCUUGGUAGUUCCCACUUGCAUUCUUCACACUGCUGUGAUUUGAUCUGCUUGCUUAUGAUAUCAAACCUUUACAAAGUACAUGGCUCCUAAUUUUCAAGGCAAAGGUUUCCCCUACAUUCCUGCUCCUGGGACAUUCUGCUGUGCCCUGCUGCUCUGGGGAUCUUGUCCAGUGCCCACUGCAUGUGGGGCCGUCAAGCUGUCACUAACAGUUGCAAGGAAGUCCAGCAUUUGCACCAGGCAGACUCUUGAUAUCUGGUAUCUGGCCACAGUUACAUCCCCUUCCACACCAGCCCCACUUACAGAUGUGGGUUUCUGUCACUGGAGCAAGCAGGUCUCCAUUGCAACAAAGCAGAUUAUUCUCUCACUAUUUGUCUAGUUCCUUGUUUGGUUUGCAUUGUUGUCAUUGGAACAAAUUUGCACCUGUUUACAAGAGUUAAUCAUUGCAACCCUUAAAACGUUGGUGAAACUGUAAAGCUUUGAGCCAGCUCCUCAGCCUCCUUUUAGGACGCCUGUGUCCUUAGCCCUGCAGCAAGUGUGCACACAGUACCACAGCCCUUCCUUCCUCCACUGGAGGGCCCUGUGGAACAGGCGAACUCAUCAGGAUUCCCGUGCUGCCCUAGAAAGAGGCUGGAGUGUUAGGACUACUUGUCUCCAAGCCCCUCUCCUUAGCUGAAAAGCCUUCUGAUAGGAAAAUGGAUUUUAAGCAAGGAAGUAGAAAUUUUGGCUCUUUCUCUUGUCAUAGCAAUAACAUGAAAAUUUCUGCAGGAGAAAUAAAAGAUACUUCU